rnacentral:rRNA from 1 species
AGAGUUUGAUCAUGGCUCAGAAUCAACGCUGGCGGCGCGCCUAACACAUGCAAGUCGCACGAGAAAGUGGAGCAAUCCAUGAGUACAGUGGCGUACGGGUGAGUAACACGUGGAUCAUCUGCCCUGGAGUGGGGAAUAACGCUGGGAAACCGGCGCUAAUACCGCAUAUUCCCGAGAGGGGAAAGCAGCAAUGCGCUCGAGGAGGAGUCCGCGGCCGAUUAGCUAGUUGGUAGGGUAAAAGCCUACCAAGGCUGUGAUCGGUAGCCGGCCUGAGAGGGCACACGGCCACACUGGCACUGAAACACGGGCCAGACUCCUACGGGAGGCAGCAGUGGGGAAUCUUGCACAAUGGGGGAAACCCUGAUGCAGCGACGCCGCGUGAGCGAUGAAGCCCUUCGGGGUGUAAAGCUCUUUCGGCAGGGACGAUUAUGACGGUACCUGCAGAAGCAGCUGCGGCUAACUACGUGCCAGCAGCCGCGGUAAUACGUAGGCAGCAAGCGUUGUUCGGAGUUACUGGGCGUAAAGGGUGUGUAGGCGGCCCGUUAAGUUCCGUGUGAAAUCUCCCGGCUCAACCGGGAGGGUGCGCGGAAAACUGGCGGGCUAGAGUACGGGAUGGGAGAGUAGAAUUCCUGGUGUAGCGGUGAAAUGCGUAGAUAUCAGGAGGAAUACCGGUGGUGUAGACGGCUCUCUGGACCGUAACUGACGCUGAAACACGAAAGCGUGGGUAGCAAACAGGAUUAGAUACCCUGGUAGUCCACGCCCUAAACGAUGCAUAUUUGGUGUAGGCAGUUCAUUCUGUCUGUGCCGGAGCUAACGCGUUAAAUAUGCCGCCUGGGGAGUACAGUCGCAAGGCUGAAACUCAAAGGAAUUGACGGGGGCCCGCACAAGCGGUGGAGCAUG